AACGAACGCUGGCGGCAGGCUUAACACAUGCAAGUCGAACGCACCGCAAGGUGAGUGGCAGACGGGUGAGUAACGCGUGGGAACCUUCCUCUUAGUAAAGAAUAGCCCAGGGAAACUUGGAUUAAUACUUUAUACGCCCUACGGGGGAAAGAUUUAUCGCUAAAAGAUGGGCCCGCGUUGGAUUAGCUAGUUGGUGAGGUAAUGGCUCACCAAGGCUACGAUCUAUAGCUGAUCUGAGAGGAUGAUCAGCCACACUGGAACUGAGACACGGUCCAGACUCCUACGGGAGGCAGCAGUGGGGAAUAUUGGACAAUGGGCGCAAGCCUGAUCCAGCCAUGCCGCGUGAAUGACGAAGGCCUUCGGGUUGUAAAGUUCUUUGGCAGGGGAAAAUCAUGAUGGUACCCUGAAAAUAAGCUCCGGCUAACUUCGUGCCAGCAGCCGCCGUAA
rnacentral:rRNA from 1 species